rnacentral:rRNA from 1 species
UACGGAGGGGACUAGCGUUGUUCGGAAUUACUGGGCGUAAAGCGCACGUAGGCGGAUUUGUAAGUCAGGGGUGAAAUCCCGGGGCUCAACCUCGGAACUGCCUUUGAUACUGCAAAUCUCGAGUCCGGAAGAGGUGAGUGGAAUUCCUAGUGUAGAGGUGAAAUUCGUAGAUAUUAGGAAGAACACCAGUGGCGAAGGCGGCUCACUGGUCCGGUACUGACGCUGAGGUGCGAAAGCGUGGGGAGCAAACAGGAUU